GCCCAACAUAUUCUGCUCUGAGCUUGACCGACAUCUACCUGAAAAGAGUCAUCAGUCUAGAAAGACAACCAAAAUUGGGAAGACAUCAAAUGCUUUGACUGAAAUCCUAAGAAUCUACGAUUAACAGGAGGUACGUGACAUACACACCAAGUGUAUCAUUUUGUAUCUCCUUCCAGUCUAUCAACAUGAGGACGUCUCGGGGUUCUUCAGGACCUGCACAGACACAUCUGAUGAGCCAGAGCUUUAAGAUGUUGUAAAGGCCCUCCUUACAGUCAUCAUAGAUGACAACACAAGUCCAGUUCACUUCCAGCCUGAGAAAAUCUGUCAUCAUUGAAAGCGAGAUUUGAUCAACCUCUGCAGAUUUACUGAUGCCUUUCUG